AGAGUUUGAUCCUGGCUCAGGAUGAACGCUGGCGGCGUGCUUAACACAUGCAAGUCGAGCGAUGAAGUUUCCUUCGGGAAACGGAUUAGCGGCGGACGGGUGAGUAACACGUGGGUAACCUGCCUCAUAGAGUGGAAUAGCCUUCCGAAAGGAAGAUUAAUACCGCAUAAUGUUGAAAGAUGGCAUCAUCAUUCAACCAAAGGAGCAAUCCGCUAUGAGAUGGACCCGCGGCGCAUUAGCUAGUUGGUGGGGUAACGGCCUACCAAGGCGACGAUGCGUAGCCGACCUGAGAGGGUGAUCGGCCACAUUGGGACUGAGACACGGCCCAGACUCCUACGGGAGGCAGCAGUGGGGAAUAUUGCACAAUGGGGGAAACCCUGAUGCAGCAACGCCGCGUGAGUGAUGAAGGUUUUCGGAUCGUAAAGCUCUGUCUUUGGGGAAGAUAAUGACGGUACCCAAGGAGGAAGCCACGGCUAACUACGUGCCAGCAGCCGCGGUAAUACGUAGGUGGCGAGCGUUAUCCGGAUUUACUGGGCGUAAAGGGAGCGUAGGCGGAUGAUUAAGUGGGAUGUGAAAUACCCGGGCUCAACUUGGGUGCUGCAUUCCAAACUGGUUAUCUAGAGUGCAGGAGAGGAGAGUGGAAUUCCUAGUGUAGCGGUGAAAUGCGUAGAGAUUAGAAGAACACCAGUGGCGAAGCGACUCUCUGGACUGUAACUGACGCUGAGCUCGAAAGCGUGGGGGAGCAAACAGAUAGAUACCCUGGUAGUCCACGCCGUAACGAUGAAUACUAGGUGUGGGGGUUUCAACACCUCCGUGCCGCCGCUAACGCAUUAAGUAUUCCGCCUGGGGAGUACGGUCGCAAGAUUAAAACUCAAAGGAAUUGACGGGGACCCGCACAAGUAGCGGAGCAUGUGGUUUAAUUCGAAGCAACGCGAAGAACCUUACCUACACUUGACAUCCCUUGCAUUACUCUUAAUCGAGGAAAUCCCUUCGGGGACAAGGUGACAGGUGGUGCAUGGUUGUCGUCAGCUCGUGUCGUGAGAUGUUGGGUUAAGUCCCGCAACGAGCGCAACCCUUGUCGUUAGUUACUACCAUUAAGUUGAGGACUCUAGCGAGACUGCCUGGGUUAACCAGGAGGAAGGUGGGGAUGACGUCAAAUCAUCAUGCCCCUUAUGUGUAGGGCUACACACGUGCUACAAUGGCUGGUACAGAGAGAUGCAAUACCGCGAGGUGGAGCCAAACUUAAAAACCAGUCUCAGUUCGGAUUGUAGGCUGAAACUCGCCUACAUGAAGCUGGAGUUACUAGUAAUCGCGAAUCAGAAUGUCGCGGUGAAUACGUUCCCGGGUCUUGUACACACCGCCCGUCACACCAUGAGAGUUGGCAAUACCCGAAGUCCGUGAGCUAACCGCAAGGAGGCAGCGGCCGAAGGUAGGGUCAGCGAUUGGGGUGAAGUCGUAACAAGGUAGCCGUAGGAGAACCUGCGGCUG
rnacentral:rRNA from 1 species